GACGAACGCUGGCGGCGUGCUUAACACAUGCAAGUCGAGCGGAAAGGCUCCUUCGGGGGUACUCGAGCGGCGAACGGGUGAGUAACACGUGAGUAAUCUGCCCUUGGCUUUGGGAUAACUACCGGGAACGGUGGCUAAUACCGGAUACGACCACUCCUUGCAUGAGGUGGUGGUGGAAAGUUUUUUCGGCCAGGGAUGUGCUCGCGGCCUAUCAGCUUGUUGGUGGGGUAAUGGCCUACCAAGGCUUCGACGGGUAGCCGGCCUGAGAGGGUGACCGGCCACACUGGGACUGAGACACGGCCCAGACUCCUACGGGAGGCAGCAGUGGGAAUAUUGGACAAUGGGCGGAAGCCUGAUCCAGCAACGCCGCGUGAGGGAUGACGGCCUU
rnacentral:rRNA from 1 species